rnacentral:rRNA from 1 species
UACGUAGGCAGCGAGCGUUGUUCGGAGUUACUGGGCGUAAAGGGUGUGUAGGCGGUUGUUUAAGUUUGGUGUGAAAUCUCCCGGCUCAACUGGGAGGGUGCGCCGAAUACUGAAUGACUAGAGUGCGGGAGAGGAAAGUGGAAUUCCAGGUGUAGCGGUGAAAUGCGUAGAUAUCUGGAGGAAUACCGGUGGCGAAGGCGGCAUCCUGGACCGACAUUGACGCUGAGGAGCGAAAGCUAGGGGAGCAAACGGG